rnacentral:rRNA from 1 species
CAUGUAGGCGGUUUUGUAAGCCUGGUGUGAAAUCCUGCAGCUUAACUGUAGAAUUGCAUUGGGUACUGCAAGACUUGAAUCACAGAGGGGAAACUAGAAUUCCAGGUGUAGGGGUGGAAUCUGUAGAUAUCUGGAAGAAUACCGGUGGCGAAGGCGGGUUUCUAGCUGAUGAUUGACGCUGAGGUGCGAAAGUGCGGGGAGCAAACAG